rnacentral:piRNA from 1 species
UAUUGCGCUUUCCCAUCGUGA